rnacentral:rRNA from 1 species
AUUGAACGCUGGCGGCAGGCCUAACACAUGCAAGUCGAACGAGUGGCGGACGGGUGAGUAAUGUCGGGGAAAGUGCCUGAUGGAGGGGGAAAACUACGGGAAACGGUAGCUAAUAGCGCAUAGGAUGGGGUGUGCCCAUAUGGGAUUAGCUAGUAGUUGGGGUAAAGGCUCACCUAGGCGACGAUCCCUAGCGGGUCUGAGAGGAUGACCAGCCACACUGGGACUGAGACACGGUCCAGACUCCUACGGGAGGCAGCAGUGGGGAAUAUUGCACAAUGGGCGCAAGCCUUAUGCAGCCAUGCCGCGUGUAUGAAGAAGGCCUUCGGGUUGUAAAGUACUUUCAGCGGGGAGGCGUUACCCGCAGAAGAAGCACCGGCUAACUCCGUGCCAGCCGCCGCGGUAAUAC